GUGAGUAAUAUCGAACGUACCCUAGAGUGGGGGUAUACGUAGCGAAAGUUACCUAAUACCGCAUACGAAUCUAAGGAUGAGCUGGGGGAUCCAAGACCUCAUCUCGUGGAGCGGCCGAUAUCUGAUUAGCUAGUUGUAGGGUAAACCUACCAAGGCAUGGAUCAGUAGCUGGUCU
rnacentral:rRNA from 1 species